GAUGAACGCUGGCGGCGUGCUUAACACAUGCAAGUCGAACGGUGAAGCAGGAGCUUGCUCCUGUGGAUCAGUGGCGAACGGGUGAGUAACACGUGAGCAAUCUGCCCUGGACUCUGGGAUAAGCGUUGGAAACGACGUCUAAUACCGGAUACGAGGCGUGGGGGCAUCCCCAACGCCUGGAAAGAACUUCGGUCCAGGAUGAGCUCGCGGCCUAUCAGGUAGUUGGUGAGGUAACGGCUCACCAAGCCUACGACGGGUAGCCGGCCUGAGAGGGUGACCGGCCACGCUGGGACUGAGACACGGCCCAGACUCCUACGGGAGGCAGCAGUGGGGAAUAUUGCACAAUGGGCGCAAGCCUGAUGCAGCAACGCCGCGUGAGGGACGACGGCCUUCGGGUUGUAAACCUCUUUUAGCAGAGAAGAAGCGAAAGUGACGGUACCUGCAGAAAAAGCACCGGCUAACUACGUGCCAGCCGCCGCCGUAA
rnacentral:rRNA from 1 species